AUGACUCCUGAAGAUGGUUCCCAGUCUCCUGACUAUUCUAAUACUGAAUUAAAGACUACAGGAAAGGGUUUUGAAUCAGACCUGGAAGAUCCUGAUCAUGAAAGGAGAUUCAUAACUGCAAAGGAAUUCCAAGCCAUGGAGAAAGAACUAGAAGAUGUAAGAGAAGAACUGAAAUGCUUGAAGUGGAAAGUGAGACACAUCGGUGAGACCGUGCAGCCCCUGGCAGAAGAUAGCAAGCGUUACAAUGGCUACACCCUGACUGAGCUCAAGGCAAUGGUGCAGUUUGAAGAUGAUCCUUACAAAGCUGCACACAAAAUCCUAACUGUGCUCUUCAGUGAUGUGUACUUGCUACAGCACUCAGUCACCGAACAGGCCUGCAACCCAAGAUCUCUGCCCAAGCCCCAAAUAGACCCUGAGUUGUACACAGUGUACCGUGACAUUCUGAAAAGCAUAUUCCCUGGAAUUAGUAGUCAGACCUUAAGGGAAGAGACACAACACGCGCAGAAAAGGACCCCGAAAGAAGUGCAAUAACAGCAGAGUCCACAAAAUCUUCUGCAAAAAGAGAAGUCUCUGAUGAUUUCAGAGCACUGAACUGUGGCAUGUAAAGUUAGCUGGGUCUAUCCCUUCYAGGUAGGAAUUUAUCUGUAAAUACAUUGGUGAGCUCCGAGCCCUUCAUGUCACUCUUACCUGAUGAGACAGAGUGGGAAGAUGUUCUGCAUACUUUCUAUAUUUUUGAAAAAAUUUGCCCCCUUAGUGUCUCUUUCAAUAUAUGGAUGCUCCCUUGUUUCCAGUAACUACAGUUGCUGCCAAAAGAAGCCAAAGAAGGCAUUGUGUAUGCAGGCAAGGGCCUUCCCCCCACCCCAAACAGACCUACCAACCAGCAUCUGGCUAGUUUCUAUUUUCUAGAGUGUAUCAUUCAUUAAAAGACAUUACUUGUUAGAAAAUUUUGCCUGUCUUUUUUUUUUUUCUUUUUUUUUUUUUUGUCUAAAAAUACUUCGCACAUCAAAUCAAACAGCAAUUGUAACUGGAACACACAAUAGGAUGAGACCUGGCCAUGCAG
rnacentral:lncRNA from 1 species